UCGGGAAUUUUGGGCAAUGGGCGAAAGCCUGACCCAGCAACGCCGCGUGAAGGAUGAAGUAUUUCGGUAUGUAAACUUCGAAAGAAUAGGAAGAAUAAAUGACGGUACUAUUUAUAAGGUCCGGCUAACUACGUGCCAGCAGCCGCGGUAAUACGUAGGGACCAAGCGUUGUUCGGAUUUACUGGGCGUAAAGGGCGCGUAGGCGGCAAUUCAAGUCAUCUGUGAAAUCUCCGGGCUUAACUCGGAACGGUCAGAUGAUACUGCUUUGCUAGAGUGCAGAAGGGGCAAUCGGAAUUCUUGGUGUAGCGGUGAAAUGCGUAGAUAUCAAGAGGAACACCUGAGGUGAAGACGGGUUGCUGGGCUGACACUGACGCUGAGGCGCGAAAGCCAGGGGGAGCAAACGGGAUUAGAUACCCCGGUAGUCCCUGAGCGGGCUGGCAAGGCGCAU
rnacentral:rRNA from 1 species